rnacentral:lncRNA from 10 species
CUCGUGUCAGCUUCGUGCUUUUGGUUAAAGCCAAAGUCAAGGAGUAGAAAAACAAACUUCACCUCCACAAUGGGAGGAACUGAGAGGGUGCAAACACAGGGCAGGAGGAAGGAUGAGGUCAAUUCUGCAAUACGGAGCCCUCACGUACUGCAUUCCAAUGGGUGCCACUUGCCCGAAGAGGCCAUUGUUUAUUAGACGCCAGGUGUGGGCACUCGUUCACGCAUUCUGCUAAUGUGCACUGAGCACCUCCCAGCACUGCAGAACUGGCACCUGACUAUGGAAAUGAUGUUAGACAAAAAGCAAAUUUGAGUGAUUUUCUUACUCGAGUUCAAAAUGGGUCAUAAAGCAGCAGAGACAACACGCAACAUCAACAACACGUUUAGCCCUGGAACUGCUAACGAACAUACAGUACAGUGGUGUAAUUACAAUUACAUCUGAGAAGUAUGCUCAGCAGAUCGAUGAGACACAUUGAAAACUGCAGCGCCUGCAGCUGGCAUUGGCCAACAGAAAGGGCCCAAUUCUUCUCCACGACAACGCCUGACUGCACGUCACACAACCAGCGCUUCAAAAGUUGAACUAAUUGGGCUACGAAGUUUUGCCUCAUCUGCCAUAUUCACUUGACCUCUCCCCAACCGACUACCACUUCUUCAAGCAUCUCGACAACUUUUUGCAGGGAGAACGCUUCCACAACCAGCAGGAUGCAGAAAGCGCUUUCCAAGAGUUCAUCGAAUCCCAAAGCACAGAUUUUUACACUAUAGGAAUAAAUGAACAUUUCUUCUUGGCAAAAAUGACUUGAUUGUAAUCGUUCUUAUUUUGAUUAAUAAAGAUGUAUCUGAGCCUAGUUAUAAUGAUUUAAAAUUCAUGGUCCAAAACCGCAAUUACUUUUGCACCAGCCUGCAACCUGUACAACAAACCCCCAUGACACAAGUCUACCUACGUAACAAACCUGCGCAUGCGCCCCUGAACUUAAAAUAAAAGUUAAAAAAAAAAAAAGACUAGAGAGGAGCCUAUAUUUCCACUGAAAGGAAGGAGAGGUUGGGGAAUAGGAAUAAUUCUGCACAGGAACAAGAAAGCGAAUGCAAGGAAAUUUUCAGACCAGUCUCUUUGCCCGAGUCUUUAAAAGUUUUUGUUAGGGGUCAUGAAGUUUGAAAUGUGUCUUAAGGAGGGAUGGAUUACUUGGAAUAAAUUGCCUCUAUGAGACAGUGUGAUAUGAUGUGACAUGAGGGACUGUGGAGUCACGUGGGGUGGGGGUGGGAGGAGGAUGAGGAUUAAAAUCUACACACGGAGUACAGUGUACACAACUAGGGAGACGGGAGCACUAAAAGCUCAGACUUCACCACUGUACAAUUCAUCCAUGUAAUCAAAAUCCACAUGUACCCCAAAAGCUCCUGAAAUUAAAAAGCAAAUUCACAGGUGUCAACUUAGACAGCGACAGAACCUGACAUUUUGUUGACAAGUUGACUGCAACGUAGAGCAUCUCCUGGAGGAUCUGCUUUUACGGCGUAGCGAUGGCAGGGCUUCUGCUUCUGGAAGGUGGAGCAGGUGCAUUCACGCCCUUCUCUGUCUUCCUCCAACAACAUAAACUAAAAGCUGUAAGCAUGGCAGAUGCUUGAUCCGCCCCUCCUCCCAUGUGAGAUGCUGCCUCGAGAGCUGCACAAAGACCCCUCUGUGAAGCCCCUUAGCGAUCCCACAAGGAAAAUAGCACGACCAUCCUGUUCUACAGAUGGGGCAACUUGAGGCUCAGAGAGGCCAGGCGACUUGCCCAGUGUCACACACAGUCUGCCAUUGGUUGUAGAGUCAGGAUGUGAACCCGAGUUUGUCUCACUCAGAGCCCGCACUCUGAGCUGCCUGCCUCUGCUUCUCGGAUUCCAGCCUUGGUUUUGUGUGAGUCCCGGGCACACUGUAGGUGCUGAACUCAUUGCUGAAUGCACACAUCCAGCAGAUGUUUAGUGAGCGCCUACUGUGUGCCAGGCAGUGUUCUAGGCACUGUGGAUACAGCAGGGAGCAAGACAGACAGCAACCUUGCCCCCAUGAUGCUGGUAUUUAAGUAGCAGAAGAAAACAUGCAAUAAAUAUUGAUACACACGCACUAUGCUAGACACUGGUAAGUGCUAAGGUCAGAAAAUGACGCGGGGGCAGUGGGGACGGGAUGCAAGGGGGUGCAAUAUUAAGUGGAGUGGCAGGGAAGGCCUCGCUGAGAAAGGAGUCAUUGCACCUGAAACAGGGAAGGUUACGAGCAAUGGGGCAUCUAGGGGAGAAGGAACAGGCAACACAGAGGUCUGGAGGCCGGACCACGCCUGUAGCAACUUUGAGGAACUGCAAGGAAGCCAGCAUGGCUGAUGCUAAGUGCGCAAAGAGGUCAGUGGUGGGAGAUGAGGACACAGAGGACAGAUGCUCCAGGAGGGCCAGAGUGUGUGCGGCUUUGAGGCCACAGAAGGACUUGGUGUUUACUCUGGGGGAAGUGGGAGCCACGGCAGGCGUUUGAGCAGAGAAGCAGCCUCCUCUGACUUGGGAUUUAACAGGUUCCCUCUGGCUGCCGUGUGAGGAAUAGCCUCAGUGGGGUUAGGGUGGCAGCUGGGAGACCAGGGACCUGGACUACUGCACCUGUCCAGGCGAGCAAUGAUGGCAGCUGGAACCUGGUUGGGGUGGGGAGAGGUGGAGGUGGUGAGAAGUCCGCAGAUUCUGGAUGUAUUUGGAAGAGAAAAACAGCAGGAUUUGCUGAUGAGUCAGACACGGGCAGGAGAGAAAAAAAGCAGUCGGAUGACUCUGAGGUGUUUAGUCCAGCAACAGGGAGAUGAGGUUACCAUUCCCAGAGAAGCAGGCAGUGGAGGAGCAGGCCUGAGGUCGAUGUUAAACAUGAUGCACACAAAGAAUCGCAUGUUCUCCAGCCCUUGAAUUGAGGUGCAGUCACGUGUCUUGGUGCAGUGCGUGAAACCCGGAUGGAACAGAUAUGUUUUAAGAGCCAGUGCGCAAUUCACCAUGAUUCACUUCAUUCACUUCCCUUCCUACAACUAUUGCAGUUUGCCAAGAGUAGAGCGAUCUGUGCCACCCAUGAGGGACAACACAUAAACUGUGAUUAUUGUUUGUUAAGCUGGAAUUUGGGGGGUCAUUUGUUAAUGCAGCAAGACCUAAUCUCUCCUGACUGAGGCCAGAUUAAAUGAGUUAAUACAUCUAAAAUCCUUGGAGUACUGUCUGGCACAUGGCAGCCACCACAGACUGUUAGCUUUUAUUAUUGUUUAAACAAUCAUAAAGACAAAAUCAGCAAACCUGGACAUGGAGUAGCAGAUAGACUCCAGGGAGGCCCCAGUGGCCUCUGCCUCCUGGUGUUCAUGCCCUUAUUAAUCUCCUCCCCUUGAUUGUGGACUAGACCCACAUGAGGCUUUCUUCUUGCAAAGGUGAUGGAAUGUCACUUGCAGGACCUACAAUCAUAGUGUCUGUCUUGCUAGGAGGCUCUCUCCCUUGCUGGCUCUGAUGAAGUGAGUGGGUAUGUGGGAAGAACCACAUAACAGAGAACUGGGGGUGGCCGCCAGCCAAUGACCAGCUAAGAAUAGAGGGGGCAGCCUCUGGCCCAAAGCCAGCAAGAAUCUGAGCCCUACAGCCCCACAGCGAGGGUAACCAACUCAUUCCAGCCUGCCUGGGCUUUUUCAGCUUUAGCACUGGAGAGUCCCACAUCCCUGGAAAUUCCCUCCUGGUCUAUCCAGGACUAUCCUAGUUUUAGGGUUGAAAGGUUGGCAUCCCUGGAGCCCCUCAGUCCUGAGCAAACUGGAAUGGUCGGUGUAUUCGAUGGCUAGGACUGCCGUGACAAGUGCCACAGACUAGGCGGCUUACCGAACAGACGUUUAUUUGCUCACAGUUCUAGAGGCUGGAAGCCCUGGAUCAAGGCGUGGGCAGUGUUCUUUUCUUCUGAAGUCUCUCUCCUCGGCUUGCCGAUGGCCAUCUUCUCUCUGUGUCUUUACGUGGUCUUUCCUGUGUAUGUCCUAAUCUUAUUUGAUAGAAUAGUCAUAGCAGAUUUGGGCCCACCCUAAUAACUUUGUUUUAACUUAAUUACUUCUUCAAAGACCUAUUCCUAAAUACAGUCACAUUCUGAGGUACUGGGGCAUAGGACUUCAACAAAGGAAUUUUGGAGGGGGCACAGUUCGGCCCAUAAGAACUGGUUCCCCUAAUUGACAGCAACAAGAACCUGAAUUCUGCUAGCAACCAUGUGAGCUUGAAGCAGAUCCUCCCUGGUCAAGCCUUCAGAUGAGACCCAGUCCAGCUAACACUUUAAUGGCAGCCUUGCAGAGGAACCAGCUAAGCCAUGUGAGGCUCCUGACCCACAGAAACUGCUACAUAAUAAAUGGGUAUCCCAGCUACUCGGGAGACUGAGGCAGGAGAAUCGCUUGAACCAGGGAGUUGGUGGUUGCAGUGAGCCAAGAUCACGCCACUGCACUCCAGCCUGGUGACAGAGCAAGACUCCAUCUCAAUAAAUAAAUAAAUAAAUAAAUAAAUAAAACUGGGUAUCAUUUUAAGCUGCUAACUUUGUGACGUUUUGUUACAUAGCAAUGGGUAAUGAAUGCCUUGAGUCAUAUCUGUGCACUUGCCCAACCUUGCCCAUAGCUUUCUGCUGAUCCCUGGCACAGAACCUUCUGUUUCCAUAGUCACAUGAUGGUCUUCUGGGAGAACUGGAAGGACCAAUAUUACUCUGUAGAUUCCUCUUCUGUUUCACCCAAUAACUCACUCUUCUGGGUUCUUCACUCUUCCCUCAUGUGGUAUAACUUUGUUUUUGUCAAAAUACUUUUAUACACUUUACGAAUCAAUCCAUUUCUUGUUGGGUUCUGACAAUGUCCCCAGUACGACUGGGUCUUUAAAGUGUUGAGUUUUUAUCUUCUUUCCAGCCACACAGGAUAACCAUUCCCUCCUAACUGCAAAUAGCAAGGAUGAGGGUUACAGAGGUGAUGUCGUCAAGUGUAUUUGACUCCAGGCUCUGAGAACCUGCAGUCAUCUUCCCUAAUCCAGGAUGCCCAG